UACGGAGGGUGCAAGCGUUAUCCGGAUUCACUGGGCUUAAAGGGUGCGUAGGUGGAUUGUUAAGUCAGUGGUGAAAUCUCCGGGCUUAACCCGGAAACUGCCAUUGAUACUAUCAGUCUUGAAUACCGUGGAGGUCAGUAGAAUAUGUCAUGUAGCGGUGAAAUGCUUAGAUAUGACAUAGAAUACCAAUUGCGAAGGCAGCUGGCUACACGAAUAUUGACACUCAGGCACGAAAGCGUGGGGAUCAAACAGG
rnacentral:rRNA from 1 species